rnacentral:rRNA from 1 species
AUCGAACGCUGGCGGCAGGCCUAACACAUGCAAGUCGAGCGAGCGGCGGACGGGUGAGUAAUGUCUGGGAAACUGCCUGAUGGCGGGGGAUAACUACUGGAAACGGUAGCGAAUACCGCAUACCAUCAGAUGUGCCCAGGUGGGAUGAGCUUGUCGGCGGGGUAACGGCUCACCUAGUCGACGAUCCCUAGCUGGGCUGCGAGGAUGACCAGCCACACUGGAACUGAGACGCGGUCCAGACUCCUACGGGAGGCAGCAGUGGGGAAUAGUGGACAAUGGGGGCAAGCCUGAUGCAGCCAUGCCGCGUGUGUGAAGAAGGCCUUCGGGUUGUAAAGCACUUUCAGCGGGGAGGCGUUACCCGCAGAAGAAGCACCGGCUAAAUCCGUGCCAGCCGCCGCGGUAAUAC